CCUACGGGAGGCAGCAGUGGGGAAUAUUGGACAAUGGGGGGAACCCUGAUCCAGCCAUGCCGCGUGUGUGAAGAAGGCCCUCGGGUUGUAAAGCACUUUCAGUGAGGAAGAACGCCUGGUGGUUAAUACCCAUCAGGAAAGACAUCACUCACAGAAGAAGCACCGGCUAACUCCGUGCCAGCAGCCGCGGUAAUACGGAGGGUGCGAGCGUUAAUCGGAAUUACUGGGCGUAAAGCGCGCGUAGGUGGCUUGAUAAGCCGGUUGUGAAAGCCCCGGGCUCAACCUGGGAACGGCAUCCGGAACUGUCAAGCUAGAGUGCAGGAGAGGAAGGUAGAGUUCCCGGUGUAGCGGUGAAAUGCGUAGAGAUCGGGAGGAAUACCAGUGGCGAAGGCGGCCUUCUGGACUGACACUGACACUGAGGUGCGAAAGCGUGGGUAGCAAACAGGAUUAGAUACCCCAGUAGUC
rnacentral:rRNA from 1 species